GACGAACGCUGGCGGCGCGCCUAACACAUGCAAGUCGAACGGAGCUGAGAGAAGCUUGCUUUUCUUAGCUUAGUGGCGAACGGGUGAGUAACGCGUGAGUAACCUGCCCUGGAGUGGGGGACAACAGUUGGAAACGACUGCUAAUACCGCAUAAGCCCACGAUCCGGCAUCGGAUUGAGGGAAAAGGAUUUAUUCGCUUCAGGAUGGACUCGCGUCCAAUUAGCUAGUUGGUGAGGUAACGGCCCACCAAGGCGACGAUUGGUAGCCGGACUGAGAGGUUGAACGGCCACAAUGGGACUGAGACACGGCCCAGACUCCUACGGGAGGCAGCAGUGGGGGAUAUUGCACAAUGGGGGAAACCCUGAUGCAGCGACGCCGCGUGGAGGAAGAAGGUUUUCGGAUUGUAAACUCCUGUCGUAAGGGACGAUAAUGACGGUACCUGACAAGAAAGCACCGGCUAACUACGUG
rnacentral:rRNA from 1 species